rnacentral:lncRNA from 1 species
GGCAUUUCAGCAGACAAAGCCAAGCAAGACCAAUGAAUACAACAAAUAUAACAUGAUGACAGCACAAAUAUAACAAUCAGUCUUCCAUUAUUCCCUUCUUUUUUCUUCUUUGGGACAUCUACUCCUAAAGGUUUCAUUAUCGUUCCAUUGUUGUCAUGUCCUGGAUUUGGCCCAUCAUCUAUACCAGAAGCAUCUGAGGGAGUUGA